rnacentral:rRNA from 1 species
UAGGGAAUCUUCCACAAUGGACGAAAGUCUGAUGGAGCAACGCCGCGUGAGUGAAGAAGGGUUUCGGCUCGUAAAACUCUGUUGUUAAAGAGGAAUGACAUUGAGAGUAACUGUUCAAUGUGUGACGGUAUCUUACCAGAAAGGAACGGCUAAAUACGUGCCAG